rnacentral:rRNA from 1 species
CCUACGGGUGGCAGCAGUGGGGAAUAUUGGACAAUGGGCGAAAGCCUGAUCCAGCCAUGCCGCGUGUGUGAAGAAGGUCUUCGGGUUGUAAAGCACUUUCAGUGGGGAAGAAAGGCUUUGGGUUAAUACCUUCCAGGAAGGACAUCACCCACAGAAGAAGCACCGGCUAACUCCGUGCCAGCAGCCGCGGUAAUACGGAGGGUGCGAGCGUUAAUCGGAAUUACUGGGCGUAAAGCGCGCGUAGGCGGUCCGAUAAGCUGGUUGUGAAAGCCCCGGGCUCAACCUGGGAACGGCAUCCGGAACUGUCAGGCUAGAGUGCAGGAGAGGAAGGUAGAAUUCCCGGUGUAGCGGUGAAAUGCGUAGAGAUCGGGAGGAACACCAGUGGCGAAGGCGGCCUUCUGGACUGACACUGACGCUGAGGUGCGAAAGCGUGGGGAGCAAACAGGAUUAGAUACCCGUGUAGUC